rnacentral:rRNA from 1 species
GACGUAGGGUGCGAGCGUUGUCCGGAUUUAUUGGGCGUAAAGAGCUCGUAGGCGGCUCGUCGCGUCGACCGUGAAAACCCGCGGCUUAACUGCGGGCUUGCGGUUGAUACGGGCGGGCUAGAGUUCGGUAGGGGAGACUGGAAUUCCUGGUGUAGCGGUGGAAUGCGCAGAUAUCAGGAGGAACACCAAUAGCGAAGGCAGCUCGCUGGGACGGUACUGACGCUGAGGCGCGAAAGCGUGGGGAGCAAACAGG